UACGGAGGGAGCUAGCGUUGUUCGGAAUUACUGGGCGUAAAGCGCACGUAGGCGGCUUUGUAAGUUAGAGGUGAAAAGCCCGGGGGCUCAACCCCGGAAUUGCCUUUUAAGACUGCAUCGCUUGAAUCCGGGAGAGGUGAGUGGAAUUCCGAGUGUAGAGGUGAAAUUCGUAGAUAUUCGGAAGAACACCAGUGGCGAAGGCGGCUCACUGGACCGGCAUUGACGCUGAGGUGCGAAAGCGUGGGGAGCAAACAGG
rnacentral:rRNA from 1 species